UACGUAGGCAGCAAGCGUUGUUCGGAAUUACUGGGCGUAAAGAGUGUGUAGGCGGUGCUCUAAGUUCGGUGUGAAAUCUCCCGGCUCAACUGGGAGGGUGCGGCGGAAACUGGGACGCUGGAGUACGGGAGAGGUAAGCGGAAUUCCUGGUGUAGCGGUGAAAUGCGUAGAUAUCAGGAGGAACACCUGCGGUGUAGACGGCUUACUGGACCGUAACUGACGCUGAGGCACGAAAGCGUGGGUAGCAAACAGG
rnacentral:rRNA from 1 species